AAUAGAGAUUGCGUCAGUAGCGGCGAGCGAAAGCGCAAGAGGGCAAACCCAGUGCUUGCACUGGGGGUUGUAGGACUGCAAUGUGCAAGAGGUGAGUUUAGCAGAACAUUCUGGAAAGUAUAGCCAUAGAGGGUGAUAGUCCCGUAUGCGAAAAACAAACCUUAGCUAGCAGUAUCCUGAGUAGGGCGGGACACGAGAAAUCCUGUCUGAAGCUGGGUCGACCACGAUCCAACCCUAAAUACUAAUACCAGAUCGAUAGUGCACAAGUACCGUGAGGGAAAGGUGAAAAGAACUGAGGUGAUCAGAGUGAAAUAGAACCUGAAACCAUUUGCUUACAAUCAUUCAGAGCACUAUGUAGCAAUACAGUGUGAUGGACUGCCUUUUGCAUAAUGAGCCUGCGAGUUGUGGUGUCUGGCAAGGUUAAGCAAACGCGAAGCCGUAGCGAAAGCGAGUCUGAAUAGGGCGCUUAGUCAGAUGCUGCAGACCCGAAACGAAGUGAUCUAUCCAUGAGCAAGUUGAAGCUAGUGUAAGAACUAGUGGAGGACUGAACCCAUAGGCGUUGAAAAGCCCCGGGAUGACUUGUGGAUAGGGGUGAAAGGCCAAUCAAACUUCGUGAUAGCUGGUUCUCUCCGAAAUAUAUUUAGGUAUAGCGUUGUGUCGUAAUAUAAGGGGGUAGAGCACUGAAUGGGCUAGGGCAUACACCAAUGUACCAAACCCUAUCAAACUCCGAAUACCUUAUAUGUAAUCACAGCAGUCAGGCGGCGAGUGAUAAAAUCCGUCGUCAAGAGGGAAACAACCCAGACUACCAGCUAAGGUCCCUAAAUCUUACUUAAGUGGAAAACGAUGUGAAGUUACUUAAACAACCAGGAGGUUGGCUUAGAAGCAGCCAUCCUUUAAAGAAAGCGUAAUAGCUCACUGGUCUAGUGAUUUUGCGCGGAAAAUAUAACGGGGCUAAAGUAAGUACCGAAGCUGUAGACUUGACUUUGUCAAGUGGUAGGAGAGCGUUCUAUUUGCGUCGAAGGUAUACCGGUAAGGAGUGCUGGAGCGAAUAGAAGUGAGCAUGCAGGCAUGAGUAGCGAUAAUUAAUGUGAGAAUCAUUAACGCCGUAAACCCAAGGUUUCCUACGCGAUGCUCGUCAUCGUAGGGUUAGUCGGGUCCUAAGUCGAGUCCGAAAGGGGUAGACGAUGGCAAAUUGGUUAAUAUUCCAAUACCAACAUUAGUGUGCGAUGGAAGGACGCUUAGGGCUAAGGGGGCUAGCGGAUGGAAGUGCUAGUCUAAGGUCGUAGGUGCUUAUACAGGCAAAUCCGUAUAAGAAUACACCGAGAACUGAAAGGCUUUUUGAAGUCUUCGGAUGGAUAGAAGAACCCCUGAUGCCGUCGAGCCAAGAAAAGUUUCUAAGUUUAGCUAAUGUUGCCCGUACCGUAAACCGACACAGGUGGGUGGGAUGAGUAUUCUAAGGCGCGUGGAAGAACUCUCUUUAAGGAACUCUGCAAAAUAGCACCGUAUCUUCGGUAUAAGGUGUGGUUCGCUUCGUAUUAGGAUUUACUCCGAAAGCGAAGAAACUUACAACAAAGAGUCCCUCCCGACUGUUUACCAAAAACACAGCACUCUGCUAACUCGUAAGAGGAUGUAUAGGGUGUGACGCCUGCCCGGUGCUCGAAGGUUAAUUGAUGGGGUUAGCAUUAGCGAAGCUCUUGAUCGAAGCCCGAGUAAACGGCGGCCGUAACUAUAACGGUCCUAAGGUAGCGAAAUUCCUUGUCGGUUAAAUACCGACCUGCAUGAAUGGCGUAACGAGAUGGGAGCUGUCUCAAAGAGGGAUCCAGUGAAAUUGUAGUGGAGGUGAAAAUUCCUCCUACCCGCGGCAAGACGGAAAGACCCCGUGGACCUUUACUACAGCUUGACACUGCUACUUGGAUAAGAAUGUGCAGGAUAGGUGGGAGGCUUUGAGUAUAUGACGCCAGUUGUAUAUGAGCCAUUGUUGAGAUACCACUCUUUCUUAUUUGGGUAGCUAACCAGCUUGAGUUAUCCUCAAGUGGGACAAUGUCUGGUGGGUAGUUUGACUGGGGCGGUCGCCUCCCAAAUAAUAACGGAGGCUUACAAAGGUUGGCUCAGAACGGUUGGAAAUCGUUCGUAGAGUAUAAAGGUAUAAGCCAGCUUAACUGCAAGACAUACAAGUCAAGCAGAGACGAAAGUCGGUCUUAGUGAUCCGGUGGUUCUGUGUGGAAGGGCCAUCGCUCAAAGGAUAAAAGGUACCCCGGGGAUAACAGGCUGAUCUCCCCCAAGAGCUCACAUCGACGGGGAGGUUUGGCACCUCGAUGUCGGCUCAUCGCAUCCUGGGGCUGGAGCAGGUCCCAAGGGUAUGGCUGUUCGCCAUUUAAAGCGGUACGCGAGCUGGGUUCAGAACGUCGUGAGACAGUUCGGUCCCUAUCUGCCGUGGGCGUAAGAAGAUUGAAGAGAUUUGACCCUAGUACGAGAGGACCGGGUUGAACAAACCACUGGUGUAGCUGUUGUUCUGCCAAGAGCAUCGCAGCGUAGCUAAGUUUGGAAAGGAUAAACGCUGAAAGCAUCUAAGCGUGAAGCCAACUCUAAGAUGAAUCUUCUCUAAGCUCUCUAGAAGACUACUAGUUUGAUAGGCUGGGUGUGUAAUGGAUGAAAGUCCUUUAGCUGACCAGUACUAAUAGAGCGUUUGGCUUAUCUUUAAUAAAGCAU
rnacentral:rRNA from 1 species